rnacentral:rRNA from 1 species
GAUGAACGCUAGCGGGAGGCUUAACACAUGCAAGUCGAGGGGCAGCAUAGAGUAGCAAUACUUUGAUGGCGACCGGCGCACGGGUGAGUAACGCGUAUGCAACCUACCCUGUACAGGGGGAUAACCCGGAGAAAUUCGGACUAAUACCCCAUAAAGAUAUGAAGAGGCAUUCUUUUUAUAUUUAAAGCUUCGGUGGUACGGGAUGGGCAUGCGUAACAUUAGCUAGUUGGCAGGGUAACGGCCUACCAAGGCAACGAUGUUUAGGGGACCUGAGAGGGUGAACCCCCACACUGGUACUGAGACACGGACCAGACUCCUACGGGAGGCAGCAGUGAGGAAUAUUGGUCAAUGGGCGAAAGCCUGAACCAGCCAUCCCGCGUGCAGGAAGACGGCCCUAUGGGUUGUAAACUGCUUUUCCAGGGGCGAACAGUCGCGACGAGUCGUGAUCUGACGGUACCCUGGGAAUAAGCAUCGGCUAACUCCGUGCCAGCAGCCGCGGUAAAACGUGCGUG